GAAAAAGGAGGAAAAAAUUCCAUCAUUUAACGAAAGAAAAUUAGAAAAAUUUUUCGCUCUUUUUUUCUGAUGAUUCGAAUCCGAACAACCAAGAACAGCAAACAACAACAACAUUCGACAUUCAUGGCCACCAACUGUUUGCUGUUUGUUAAUGCAAAAAAAAACUCUCUAGUUCUGAAAAUUCCCGGAAUUUUGGGAGUUGCAAAAAAAAAGAAUUUAUCUCAUUUUUAUUUUCUUUUUGCUCUCUGCAUAUUUAUGGCUUCCCAUUUUGGAACAUUUGAUAAAUAAGUGGUGACAAAAUGAUGAUGAUGAUGAUGAUCACCCAAGCAGACCAAAAAGGAGAGACAUUAUCAAUAAUUUCCAUUUGAGAAUGUUAUUCCGAUAAUGUCUUGAAUGGAUUGUCUUGUUUCGAAAAUCAAGAAUCAACUAUGCUGUGUGUUUGUUUUUUUUAUUAUUAUUGAUAGAUUGAUUGAUUGAUUGAAAAAUUCUGUUUUAUUACCACAAAUAAAAAAAAUUCAACCAUCAUCAUCAUCAUCAUCAUCAUAGACAUCAGAUUGGAAAUAUACAAAAGAAUUGCGAUUUGAAUUUCAUAUAUGAAUGCCAAGAAAAAAAAAAUUUUGAAAUCCAAAUCAAAACCGACAACAACCAUGAAUAAUAAAAAUAAAAUAAACAAUCAGAUUUUCACAAUUGAAUUCAUGAUCAUCAACAACAU